GCCAGGCAUGGUGGUGCAUGCCUGUAAUCUCAGCAGCAUGGGAGGCUGAGGCAGGAGGAUUGUGAGUUCAAAGCCAGCCUCAG
rnacentral:sRNA from 1 species